UACGAAGGUCCCAAGCGUUAUCCGGAUUUAUUGGGUUUAAAGGGUGCGUAGGCGGGCUAUUAAGUCAGUGGUGAAAGCCCCAAGCUUAACUUGGGAACUGCCAUUGAUACUGAUGGUCUUGAGUACAUUUGAGGUGGGCGGAAUGUGUCAUGUAGCGGUGAAAUGCUUAGAUAUGACACAGAACACCGAUUGCGAAGGCAGCUCACUAAACUGUAACUGACGCUGAUGCACGAAAGCGUAGGGAGCGAAAC
rnacentral:rRNA from 1 species